rnacentral:rRNA from 1 species
AUACCAAUUACUUUAAAUUUAUAUUAAGAUAGUAUAAAAAAAGUAUUGAAUGAAUAAAUAUUUAGAAUUGAUGAGAGACAUAGUUGUAGGUAAAAUUUAAUUAUUUCUAUUGAUUAAAUUUUUCUAGAUAAAUUCUUUGAAAAUAAGGUGUGAAAAACUAGGAUUAGAGACCCUAUUAUUCUUUAUUUUAAAAUUUUUUAGUUACUUAGGUAGUACGAAUAUGGUUAAUAUAUUAAACCUUUUAUGUUUGUUUAAAACUUAAAAGGCUUGGCGGUGUUAUAUAUCCUUCCAGGGGAGCUUGCUUGUUAAUUUGAUAAUCCUCAAUUUAUACUUACUUUUUCUUGAAUGUAAACAGUUUGUGUAUUGCUGUCGUCAGUUUAUUUCGUAAGAAUUUGGAAAAAAACUUGACAACGUAAGGGUUACC